rnacentral:rRNA from 1 species
GACGAACGCUGGCGGCGUGCUUAACACAUGCAAGUCGAACGGAAAGGCCCUGCUUGCAGGGUCCUCGAGUGGCGAACGGGUGAGUAACACGUGGGUGGUCUGCCCUGCACUUCGGGAUACGCCUGGUAAACUGGGUUUAAUCCCGGAGAGGAGCCAUUUUUAGUGUGAUGGUUGGCACGUUUUUUCGGUGUAGGAUGAGCUGGCGGCCUAUCAGCUGGUCGGUGGUGUAAUGGCCUACCAAGGCGGCGACGGGUAGCCGGCCUGAGGGGGUGGACGGCCACAUUGGGGCGGAGAGACGACCCAGACGCCUACGGGGGGCAGCAGUGGGGAAGAUUGCACAAUGGGCGCAAGCCGGAUGCAGCGACGCCGCGGGGGGGGUGACGGCCUUCGGGUUGGAAACUCCUUUCGCUAGGGACGAAGCAUUUUGUGACGGUACCUAGAUAAGAAGCACCGGCUAACUACGUG